rnacentral:rRNA from 1 species
GACGAACGCUGGCGGCGUGCUUAACACAUGCAAGUCGAACGGAAAGGCCCUGCUUUUGUGGGGUGCUCGAGUGGCGAACGGGUGAGUAACACGUGAGUAACCUGCCCUUGACUUUGGGAUAACUUCAGGAAACUGGGGCUCAUACCGGAUAGGAGCUCCUGCUGCAUGGUGGGGGUUGGAAAGUUUCGGCGGUUGGGGAUGGACUCGCGGCUUAUCAGCUUGUUGGUGGGGUAGUGGCUUACCAAGGCUUUGACGGGUAGCCGGCCUGAGAGGGUGACCGGCCACAUUGGGACUGAGAUACGGCCCAGACUCCUACGGGAGGCAGCAGUGGAGAAUAUUGCACAAUGGGCGGAAGCCUGAUGCAGCAACGCCGCGUGCGGGAUGACGGCCUUCGGGUUGUAAACCGCUGUCGCCUGUGACGAAGCGUGAGUGACGGUAAUGGGUAAAGAAGCACCGGCUAACUACGUG